UUUUUCUGUCCCCGUUUUUCCUCCUGCUGGGGUUCUGUGAAGAAGUGCAGCACCAAAGCGAUCUGGAGGAGACUGAUGCUCUGCUAGGCUACACUCCUCCUCAGGCUAACUUUGAUGGAUGAUACCAUCUUCUUCAGUUGCUCUGCCAAAGAAAGGAAAGAAAGGAUCAUCCAGAGAAAGCGAGCGAGAAGGAGAAAGAAAAGGAUGCCAAAUCAGGGAUCAGUCUGUCUUCGUACUGGCCGUUCUUCAGAGAGCUGGAUGUUGAAGCUCUGAGCGUGCUUUAGUGUGGCCUUCUGUCACCGACACUUUUAGACACUGAGCUGCAUAGUAAGUUAAAGGAGGAAGUGCAGUUGGGCCAUGCAGAAUUACUUUUCCUGCUGGAGAACAUGUGGCGUAAACUGGACUUUAGUUUGGCUUCUGCACCAGCCAAAAAGGCUCCAUUUCUCAAAGAAUGAGAACUCACACAUCUAAACCUGCUUUACCCUGUUUUAUGUUUUUCUACAAUGUUGUUCUAAUCAACCAAUCAGUUAUUAUAUUUAUUAUUUUAUAAUUAAGAAAUGAA